rnacentral:rRNA from 1 species
UAAGGUGGUUUUGCCGGGGGUGUUCACCUCUUCCCAUUCCGAACAGAGAAGUUAAGUCCCCCAUGGCCGAUGGUACUUGGGUUUUCCUGGGAGAGUAGGUAGCCGCCUUAU